UUGACUUAUUUGUGUAAGUACUCAGAGAGGCCUAAAAUAAUCAAGAGUUUGGUGCCCUCCGGCGGGCGCCCCGCAAGCGGGGCCGCGGCUCUACCCUAGAGCCGCCCGCCGAAGCAACGUUACGGGGUACGUUCACAAUGGUUUAUGGGAGUUUUGCAACUCUUUAAUGAUCCCUCCGCUGGUUCACCAACGGAGA
rnacentral:misc_RNA from 1 species